rnacentral:rRNA from 1 species
UACGAAGGGGGCUAGCGUUGCUCGGAAUUACUGGGCGUAAAGGGCGCGUAGGCGGACAGUUUAGUCAGAGGUGAAAGCCCAGGGCUCAACCUUGGAAUUGCCUUUGAUACUGGCUGUCUUGAGUGUGAGAGAGGUGUGUGGAACUCCGAGUGUAGAGGUGAAAUUCGUAGAUAUUCGGAAGAACACCAGUGGCGAAGGCGACACACUGGCUCACUACUGACGCUGAGGCACGAAAGCCAGGGGAGCGAACGGG